GAGGAUUGAGGAAAACACCAUACAAUCAAGCAGCAUCAGACACCAGGAGGAUCUUGUGAAGCACAUAGAUGCAUCAACUGAAAUUGGGACCCAUUGUGCUAGGUGCAGUACAUGCACAUAGUAAUUGGAUGAACCAUAGAAACAUAGGACUGGAAGGGACCUCAAGAGGCCAUCUAAUACAUCCCCCUGUGCUGAGGCAGUCCUUACUCUGAAAAGUUUGCAAGCUAAGUGAACAAGACUAACAAAACAUGGGAGAAAAAGCAGGGGGAGCUGAGGCCCAGAGAGAUUAAGUGAUUUGUCAAAGGUCAUACAAGAAGUCUGGCAAAACCAGGAAUCAAACCCAGAUAAUGACAGUCUCAGGCCAGUGUCUUACUUACAUCACCGUACUUCAGCUGCUUCCAGACCCAGAUUGUGACAGGUGGAACGUACCAGAUCGAGGCUCCUUUGCACCUGGUCCCAAGAUCGUCCCAAGUCAUCGAGGUACGGCUAGACCUGAACCCCUUGAUGCCUCAGGCACCAGGACCUAGGUGGUGGAGGGGGCCUGAAUUGUAUUCUCACCUUCUGUGGCAUGUGGAGCCCCAGCGAGCGCAGAGGCUCGGGAGUCUUUGAGGCCAUCCCUCAAAGACUCCCGUCAGCUCUGAGAAGAGCCCAGUGCCCUCAAACGGAAGGUCAUGGAUGGAGGACUGCAUUUCCUGGAACAGACUCAAGGAUUUUAGCCAAGAGCUGUGCCUCAUUACCACAGCUGAGGCAAUGACUCUGGCAGAUGAAUUGGUAAAGUCCCAGGCCAUCUGGAGGGAGCCUCUUGCCACCGCCUUGCCCUCCUCCAGGAUUGUGGCAAACUCCUGGCCAAGGUCCUGUGGCAAAGCCUCCUUAAACUUGUUGAGGAAGUCCCACAGAUUAAAGUUAUAUUUCCCCAACCAGGCCUGAUGGUUGGACACCUGGAA